rnacentral:tRNA from 1 species
GCCUGGGUGGCUUAGUUGGUUGAGCGUCUGACUUUGACUCAGGUCAUGAUCUCAUGGUUCGUGAGUUAGAGCCCCACACCAGGCU